rnacentral:rRNA from 1 species
GAGUGGCGCACGGGUGCGUAACGCGUGAGCAACCUACCUCUAUCAGGGGGAUAGCCUCUCGAAAGAGAGAUUAACACCGCAUAAUAUCAACAGUUCGCAUGUUCAGUUGAUUAAAUAUUUAUAGGAUAGAGAUGGGCUCGCGUGACAUUANCUAGUUGGUAGGGUAACGGCUUACCAAGGCGACGAUGUCUAGGGGCUCUGAGAGGAGAAUCCCCCACACUGGUACUGAGACACGGACCAGACUCCUACGGGAGGCAGCAGUAAGGAAUAUUGGUCAAUGGGCGGAAGCCUGAACCAGCCAUGCCGCGUGCAGGAUGACUGCCCUAUGGGUUGUAAACUGCUUUUGUCCAGGAAUAAACCUAAAUACGUGUAUUUAGCUGAAUGUACUGGCAAGAAUAAGGAUCGGCUACCUCCGUGCCAGCAGCCGCGGCCAACCACGGAGGAUCCGAGC